UCCACCCCACGAAAACCUAGCCGCCACCGUUCCCUCGCACCUCUCUUCUCGCUCGCUCUCCCCUAGACCACACCGCCGCCGCCUCCUCGCGCCCUCACCCCCCCGUGCCGCCGCCGCCGACCACUUUUCUCACACUUAGCCAAAUCGUCGCACCUUCCCCUUGCCACCGCGGGGCCAGUUCCGGCGGAGGGUAGGCCAUGCCCGCCGGAUUCGGUAGCCACGACCUCCUUGCCGGCGGAUCCGGUCACCCGGAGGCGAGGGUAGGGCUAGCACAGGAGGCUCAUCGACAGUACGGCGGUGAGCUCCAUGGGGAAAUGCUCUGCUCCCCACCCUCAUCUUUCUUCUUUCCAACACUGUGCUGGAUUUGGCAAGAUGAGUAAUACGGUGCUGCACGGAAGCUUGAAGCCGCUCUGGCCGGCGACGGCAUCAAGCAAGAAUAGCAUUGUACGCAGCCAAAAAGGUUCUUGGCAAGUAACUCAAAUUUCUUUUAUCUUUCAGGAUAAAAGUUUAAGAGGUAUAAGAGGUGGUCGACCAUCUACAGUUGCUUUGCCUCUCACACAAGAGCCACCAAUGAAGCUCCACAGCAUAGCGGCAAUUGCAUACCAGUAGAUGCUGCUGGUUUUGUUUGCCAUCAGUCAUCUUGAUUACCUUGGUGCACAUAGAUAUUAUCUGUUUAUUUAAAAAGAAAACUGAAUUUGGAUUCGGUGACUACCAAACAGGUGAAUACUCGACUUGAAUUGUUUAUGUACAAAAAGUAUUUGGCAAUAUGUUCUCCUGUAGUUUAGAUAGGCUAGCAGUAGAUGUUGCUGUUUUGUUUGCCAUCAGACCUCUUGAUUACCUUCAUGCACAUAGAUAUCAUCUGUUUAUUUAAAAGGAAACUGAAUUUGGAUUCAGUAGUACACUGGGAUUUGGUGGCUACUGAACAGUUGAACACUAAUCAUGAAUGUUUAUGCUUGAAAAGUAUUCUAUCCUUCGGAGAUUCUUAUUGUUGGCCAGAGGAUAUAAUUAGAAGACAAUUGCUGAUCCUUUGGAGAUUCUUAUUCUUUGGGAAGGAAGGUAGGGUUGUUCAACCCCAAACAGUUGCUGAUCAGCUAUACUGAUCCCUUUUUCAUGUUGCAAAACUUUUUAUCCUAUGCCUUCUUUUGCUCAAUUGGCCUACAACCAAGGGAUAAAUAGAAAUUACCACAGGAUCUUCUUACAAUGAUGAAAAUUUCAUUUGUAAUAAUCAUUUUACUACCUCAAUAGGGGAAAAAACAUAGGGCGAGCUUUUAUAGGCUGAAUGCGGAACUAAUUCUGUGAGUAGAUGAGGUUAUGUGAUAAUUGAGUGUACUAUUUGAUGCUCUCUGUCUGCAUUUUCUUUUAUGCUUUCCAAUUUUGUGCAGAUAAAUAACUGGCAAGAAAUUGAAAUGCCUCAGGAUGGUACAAAACUAAGAGUAAGAACUUUGGAUGCCAAUACAACACUGUCAGCCUUUGGUCAUGAAAACAUUUGAGAAUCAACUUAGACAUUAUCAGGUAUGUCAUUAUUAGUACCAUCAACAUCCUGAUUAACUCAUCUUAAUUAGCUGGAACUAUAAUACCUAUAUUUUUCUGAAAUAUGCUAUUUCUGUUCUACAGAAGCAAAUUAUUGUUGUAUAGUGUGUGCUUUCAUUUGCUGUAAAUCUUAUAGGAGGGUUUGAAGUAUAUGAUAAACAAAGUGGAACAACUUAUGAAUGUGAUGCCUAAUUGUUGUUGUUUUAACUAGGCAACAAACUCAGCAAAUUCAGAGGCACACUUCAAAUGAUCUGGUAGAAAUCCCCACCUUAAAUCCUUAAUACUGUGCAAACCACAACUAUAUUUAAUCAUCUGUUGCCCUUGUUUUUCUUAUAUCUACACAUGGCAAUGAUGCUUCAUGUUUAUUUUCUGAAAAUGCCAGCACCUAAGAUUUUGAAGCACACAGCUAACAAAGUGGACAUGCUAGGAGUGCAAUAGAACAAAAUGCAGUACACAUGUAUGCUGAUUGCAGUGCUAGGAGUGCAAUAGAUUUUUUUACAUGGGUGUUUUUUUUUUGAAUGAUGGAUGUUAAUUAUUGAGGGAUAUGAAUGAAUUAGAUGAUAUAUACAAGGCGCGAUGAAUGAAUUGAGGCCAUCCUGAUGUUGGGUUGCACAAGUAAUAUAUUUCAUUGGAUUUAUCUUUUUAUUAUGCACUAUUUACAGUAGUUGGUCGGAGAGGAAUGACUAGAGCUAGAAGACAUUUUCACUUUUUUCCCUCUAAAUAUGGGCAACAUGCCUUUAAACCAAUUUUUUCUUCUUAUUAUUACUUGCUCAUUCCUUAUCUGCAAGUUCAGUUGGAAUUUGGAUUUGUUAAUCUGCUUGAGUUGAAUUUACAAAGCGAUUCAUAUCUGGGUUGUUUUAUAUUUUGUUAAAUGGACAUGAUGGCUGUUAGACUGACUGAUAGCAAUAACAACACUUCUUUGAAAAUAAGAGGGGUAGACAAAGAUAGUUCCUCCAUCCUCCCUCUUGUUUCUUCCCCACGUGCAGUUGAGGCUAACGGUGAUUUUUGACGGAAAACGCGAUGGAGUGGCACGGUUCUAAUUUCCCCAAAUUCCAGUAGCAUGUAGCCGAUAUCGUAAAUAGUAGUAACAUUUAUCUAAAAUGGCGUAUUUGUAGUGGCAUGGAUCCAAUUAACCCAUAUAAAAAUGAGAUCUGUUACUUUGUUUUCUAGAUGCUACUGGCCACCCCCAUAUUUAUCUUGCAUGUGGCAAUGAAUAAUGUAUUGUAUUGCAUUUGUCCACAAUUUGAUCAUGCAAAGUUAUAAAAAGUGGUGUGGUGGUCUUGCCGAGGUGGGUUUCAAAGUUUCUAUAUCAUUUUUUUAUUGAUGUGGUUCAAGUGUUAAAGUUGCUUGGAUUUUUCAUUGCUCAGAAUUGUAGAUUUUCAUUAGUGAAAAUUGCAAGUGACAAGUUUGGUUCUAUUGGUCAAUAUAAUAUUUUUUUGUGAUAUUGUGCAAGAUGUUAAGUCAAAUCCGUGACUGUUAUCUUGACUAGAAGCAAAUUUAUGCCACAAAAUAUAGUAUUUAUUGCUGAGAUUGUAGGAUUUAUUUGUUAUAAAAUGUUCUUUUUUAUCUUGUAAUAAAAUGUUACCAGCGUAACAGAAGAAAACUAUCAGAUUAUGUUUUAUAGGCUAAAUGUUAAACUAUUUUCGUUAGUAUGGCAUUUUUUUAAUAAUAUUCUUAAGCCUAAACAAAAACUGGAUUAUAUGUAAGCUAUCUAAUUAUGAAUGGCUUUGGUAAGUAAUGUAGCAUUCCUUCACUAUUUAUAAUACCAUCAUUGAAGAGAUGAUCUUCUUUACGUUUUUUUUCUUUCAUGUGCCCUUUACUACUAAAAAAGAAUUGAAAGUACAACCUGAAUAAUUGGAGGGGAUCUUACUUGACCAGUUGGCAUGUCUCUACUUCACAUUAGUGGGGAUCUCACUUGGCUAAUUGGCCAGUUGUCAUGUAUCUGCUUCACAUUGGAGGGGAUCUCACUUGGCCAAUUGGCAUGUCUCUGCUUCACUUCAUUUCAGCUCCUCAGAAACGAGCAACCAAGUUCUUAUUGCCCAGGGAUGGCCAAGCUCUCCAAAAACAACUGAUAUAAUGAAAUAUUCUUUCGUUCCUCCCACAAAGCUUCAGAGCUGGACUAUCGCAAAAAAAAAAAAAAAACUUCAGAGCUGGAGGGUGAGGUUGCUGCCAUGCAAAGCUGAAAUUUCAUUUUUGAAUAUUCCUACUGUACUAUUCUGUUUUAUAAUCGUCGUGCUUUUGUUUGUAGAGUAUGCUUAAUUAGUCAUAGAACCAGAUUUACAGUAUAAAUUCGUGAAAGCAGCUGUAAGCUUUUUCAUACUAUUGCUUAUUUUCAAAAAGGGUAAGUUUGUGCUUUAGUGCUUUAGCUAAACCACAAACUUGGUAGAAAAUUAAAUCUCAAUUUACAAUUGCAUCUAUGGCGUUUAACUCCA